CCAGACUCCUACGGGAGGCAGCAGUGGGGAAUAUUGGGCAAUGGGCGCAAGCCUGACCCAGCAACGCCGCGUGCGGGAUGAAGGCUUUCGGGUUGUAAACCGCUUUCAGCAGGGAAGAUAAUGACGGUACCUGCAGAAGAAGCCCCGGCUAACUACGUGCCAGCAGCCGCGGUAAUACGUAGGGGGCGAGCGUUAUCCGGAUUCACUGGGUGUAAAGGGAGCGUAGACGGCCAUGCAAGCCAGGGGUGAAAGCCCGGGGCCCAACCCCGGGACUGCCCUUGGAACUGCAUGGCUGGAGUGCGGGAGGGGCAGGCGGAAUUCCUGGUGUAGCGGUGAAAUGCGUAGAUAUCAGGAGGAACACCAGUGGCGAAGGCGGCCUGCUGGACGAUGACUGACGUUGAGGCUCGAAAGCGUGGGGAGCAAACAGGAUUAGAUACCCGCGUA
rnacentral:rRNA from 1 species